GCUGUUGGGUCCGCCAGGAAAGGGCUUUGUUUUCGAUGGGGUAGAUGAGGGUAGGGUAGGGUAGGGUACCGUUUCGGAGAGAUGGCCUAGAGUGGGUGGGGUAGAUGAGGGGAGUGUAUGCGAGUAGAUGCUGGCCAAAGGGGGUACGCUAGACGCGUCCGUCACGCCGCUGGCCGUCUAGACGCGGCCGGGUCCCGGACGAGCACGGCCUCGCGGGGCCUAGAAGAAUUUCCGUCGUGAAAAGAAGACCUAGAGCAUCCAAGAGCUCUAGUCUGGUAGCACCUCUGCUACCGCGCAGAUAAUCCUCACUUAACCAAAAAACGGCCCUAAAGUUUCGGAACCAUCCGUUCUGCUACCCUGAAUCCCAUAUAAAAGUAGUCACGGAUUAAGCUCCGGCCACGUCUGACUUCGAAACGUUCAACUACGGUGAGAAGAACCUUAGUCAUUCGACUGCUAAGGACACGCUCGGAUCCGAACAGCUGUUCAUUCGUUUAACAUAGAGUCCCGACCUGGCAAACGUCGAACGACGGAUAGAUUGUGCGUCUGUCUUAGACACGUGCGUGGGAUGGAUCAACAAACAAACACAUCAUUGAAAAGGAACAUCCUCAUAUAUUUCUUCUUAUCUUCCGUCCCGUUUCAUUGGGUGAACCGCAUAAGAGAAAUCGGUAUAUAUAUGAUGUAGACAGAGUAUUAUAUUCUACAAAAAACUGUGAAUAGUGUCACAGUUUUUUAGAACAUAAUACUCUGUCUCCCUCAUGAAGAAUAUACGUGGAAAAUCUGUGAAUCGUCACGAUAAUUUACAGGAUACGGAUUAGCGACUAAUCAGUGCGAUCACCCUACCACCAGCAUUUGGACUGUACGUUGGUAGAUAUGGUGGCUGGACUGGGAGACUAACGCUCUGAGUGACGUCAACACUAUUAUCUUUUUGCAUUCGUUGGUCAAGAUUGAGCACUGCUUGUACGCCUGUACGUCUGGAGAGAAAACUAAAACCAGAACAAAAUAAAGACGGAACUUCUUUAUUGUGUCGUGUUAACGUAAGAACUGAGGUGAAAAACCAAAACUUUAAUCUUCGGUUAACGACUUCGUGAAGAUCGAUCUUCGGAGGAUGUUGGGAGGAGCGACAGUUGUAAUCGUAAGAAUGAAAAUCUGGGUCGGUACGGUACGUUGUUUAGUUGUUCUCGUUGUUACGUUGUAAUUAGUUGUCUCGUUGACGUCCAAGUGUUGUUCGUCGCCAACAAACCUACCCGAGCUAAAUAUACAAAGGAAUUUAUUUUCUCUUAUUUUGUUUCCCGUUUCAUUGGGAUAACCGUAUAAGAGUAAAACGGUACAUGAGGGAGGCAAGGAUUUAUAUUCAGAAAAAUCUAUAAGGUGAUAUCUGAUGUAUGCCUCGUUUUACUCACUUAGAUGUGAGAUUUUAUACAGAUAUAAUGUAGGCAUACAUCAAACAUCAACUUAGAGAUUUUUCUGAAUAUAAAUCCUUGCCUCCCUUGCCUCCCUCAUACAAGAAUAUACUUCAAAAGUUUGUCAGUCAUGAUCGAUGUAUCAGAGACUAACGACUAAUCGGUGAACCAUGUGUUAUUUUGAUUUAAGAGGCGUAUACUGAGCCAUUCGUUGGUCAAGACUCGAGUACUGCUUGUGUGUUUAAACGUGUUGAAAGAUUGAGUCAACAAACAAGAACAAUUUAUUAUUCGUGUACGCAGUAUUAUCUAUUUAAACAUAUACGUCUCAUACUUUACUGUUACAAUUUACUAUCCCGUGUGUGUCGUACCAUCCAAUUGAGAAUAUGAGUAGAUACACAUUUUAUCAGUUCUUUUCACAACUGUAAAAGAAAACAUUACACGAGGGAGGCAAGUAUUAAUAUUUUACAAAACCUAUAAAGUUAUACCUGAUGUAUGUAUGACUUUACUCACUCGUUUCUGUGAUUUUAGGCAGAUAUAUGUAGACCUGGUCUUUUUGCAACCUUGUAGAAUAUUAACACUUGACUACUUCAUAUAGUCAAAUAAAAGGAUCGUACGUGAGGGAAUCAAGUGUUUAUAUUCUACAAGACGUUGUGAUAGAACACUUAGCCUACAUAUCUGUGCAAAAUCACACAAACAAGUGAGUAAAGUCAGACUUACAUCAGGUACAACUUUAUAGGUUUUGUAAAAUAUAAAGACUUGUCUUCCUCAUGGUUAAAUUUUAGGGUAGGUGUACAAACAUGACAAUAGUAUUUAUUUUUUCAAAUUUCCGUCAGAAGAAUAUAAAAAUUCUAAGAGUUUUACACGUUUUACCAUUUUAAUACUACCAUACCCCCUACACGUCCAUUGCGCUCUCCAUAAGACAUACGUCCAAUAAGGAUAGGGGUUUCUAGACGGAGUGUUUCCUUGACUAAUUACACUGACGGCCUGUACUAUUUGAGAGAGGGCCUUCAAACGACAUGCCUACGAUAUAGGAAAGUGGGGCCCAGGUACUAACGUCCGAUUGCUCCUUGCUCCGUCGAAGACCUGGCCACGACACUACAGGGGGGCCGAGGUCUUAAGCGUUCGAACGGACCAAAAUAAAUAAAUAGGGUCAUCACAAUCAUAGUACAUUUGGUUUAGCGGUCAGACUUCCACUAUUUUAAUGACAUAAUGGAUAGAGAACCAGAACAAGAAGCGGGACCACCGGAGCCGGAGGGAACGCCGGGAGGACCGCCGUAAAGAGACACGGCGGUCGGACUAGACAAGGGCGAGCCAGACCGCUGCAACCUAGGCGACUAAGGCGGUGACGCCAUGCGGAGCCGCCCCAACCCGACGCCGCCGAGGUGUCGGUCCACCUUGAGCUGCACUAGGCGCAUGAGGAGCGCCGACAUCUUCGGGAGCUCUGCCGUGCCGGCCGUCAACUACAUGGACUUGCCUUGGAGACGGUAGCGACGUCUCUCUUAAUUAUCUAAUUCAAAUUGAAGCCGGUACCGCAGAGACAGUUUGGGACCGCAGACAGUUUGGGAUUUGGGAUCCCCUAGUCUAGAGCGCGUUCCUUCUGCUGUUCCCCUACGCAGGACCGCAGAGACCCUACGCAGGACCGCAGAGACAGUUUGGGAUUUGGGAUCCCCUAGUCUAGAGCGCGGUCCUUCUGCUGUUCCCCUACGCAGGACCGCAGAGACAGUUCGGGAUUUGGGAUCCCCUCUGGCGAGUGGAGGCGAGGCGAGGAGCCGGACGCGCGGCGAGCAGCCCCUAGCGGAACACGAGAUGCGCGCGCGUCCUCCUCCUUCCCCUGCUCCUGGC
rnacentral:rRNA from 1 species